rnacentral:lncRNA from 1 species
AGACAGCCUUGGUCUGAGGGAGCAAAGACAGAGAAUUCACGUGCUGCCCAGGCAUAGCCACAUAGCAGGUGGACAUCCCUGGACACUUUUCUGUCAUACACUGUGAGAGUCAUGAAUAAGAGCAGAAGUCCACAAAAUGCAGAUUAAUGUCCUUUAAUAACAUUUUUAUGAAUUAGACCUUUAAGCUGUCAUUAUGAGACUUACUUUAUUCAUGCUGAAUUUCAUUUAAAAUGUCAACUUCUCAAGAUUCUACAU